GAUGAAGAACGCAGCGAAAUGCGAUAAGUAAUGUGAAUUGCAGAAUUCAGUGAAUCAUCGAAUCUUUGAACGCACAUUGCGCCCGCCAGUAUUCUGGCGGGCAUGCCUGUUUGAGCGUCAUUACAACCCUCAGGCCCCCGGGCCUGGCGUUGGGGAUCGGCGGAAGCCCCCUGCGGGCACAACGCCGUCCCCCAAAUACAGUGGCGGUCCCGCCGCAGCUUCCAUUGCGUAGUAGCUAACACCUCGCAACUGGAGAGCGGCGCGGCCACGCCGUAAAACACCCAACUUCUGAAUGUUGACCUCGAAUCAGGUAGGAAUACCCGCUGAACUUAAGCAUAUCAAUAAGCGGAGGA
rnacentral:misc_RNA from 1 species